rnacentral:rRNA from 1 species
UACAGAGGGGGCAAGCGUUGUCCGGAAUUACUGGGCGUACAGCGCGCGCAGGCGGUUGCCGACGUGCCGUGUGACAAGCGGGGGCUCAACCCCCGAGGGCCACGGUAAACGGGGCGACUGGAGGAAGGGAGAGGGAUGUGGAAUGCCCGGUGGAGCGGUGAAAUGCGCAGAUAUCGGGAGGAACACCGGUGGCGAAGGCGGUUCUCUGGGCCUGUACUGACGCUGAGGAGCGAAAGCGUGGGGAGCGAACAGG